rnacentral:lncRNA from 1 species
UAUUAUUUCUCUCACCAAGAGUAUUUUCGGGUGUUCCGGGUUUUACUGAACGCCAUAUAUAUAGACAUCAUUGACGCAAAGGAAAUAAGUGUCACCACACUGACGUACAACAACCAAGAUUCAGAAAGUUGUAUUUCUAAAAUAAUUGACAACAAAUUAGAAAGUGGUUUUUAGUUUACAGGAACAUGUGAAGUUUUGAUGGCACAAGAUGAGAAACAUAUACUUAAAAUAUUAUAUGGCCUUUCAAAAUUCUCUAUUCUGAUUGGUUGACAAGCGGUCCGUGAAAACCCAUAUCCGG